ACUCCAAUGGGGCCAUACAACCCUGCACCUUAUAAUCCAGGACCUCCUGGCCCAGCUCCUCAUGGUCCUCCAGCCCCAUAUGCUCCCCAGGGAUGGGGAAAUGCAUAUCCACAUUGGCAGCAGCAGGCUCCUCCUGACCCAGCUAAGGCAGGAACGGAUCCAAACUCGGCAGCUUGGGCUGCCUAUUAUGCCCACUAUUACCAGCAGCAGGCACAGCCCCCGCCUGCAGCUCCUGCUGGAGCACCAACCACAACCCAGACUAAUGGACAAGGUAACUACGGAGAUCAGCAGAAUCCAGCUCCAGCUGGACAAGUUGAUUAUACAAAGGCUUGGGAAGAGUACUACAAGAAAAUGGGU
rnacentral:lncRNA from 1 species